rnacentral:rRNA from 1 species
UCAAUCUCGUGCGGCUAUAUAUACCGCCGGUCCCUCUAAGAAGAUUUUCAUUGUACGCCGGUAGUGAAGACCGCGAAACACACUUCCGCGACGCGAACGCCGCAAGAUGCGCGCCCGCGGACUCCUGUGAUACCGGUUGCACGUCUAUUUAAUAGGCUAGAGUUACGUUCGUUAC